AAAUUGAAGAGUUUGAUCAUGGCUCAGAUUGAACGCUGGCGGCAGGCCUAACACAUGCAAGUCGAGCGGUAGCACAGAGAGCUUGCUCUCGGGUGACGAGCGGCGGACGGGUGAGUAAUGUCUGGGAAACUGCCUGAUGGAGGGGGAUAACUACUGGAAACGGUAGCUAAUACCGCAUAACGUCGCAAGACCAAAGUGGGGGACCUUCGGGCCUCAUGCCAUCAGAUGUGCCCAGAUGGGAUUAGCUAGUAGGUGGGGUAACGGCUCACCUAGGCGACGAUCCCUAGCUGGUCUGAGAGGAUGACCAGCCACACUGGAACUGAGACACGGUCCAGACUCCUACGGGAGGCAGCAGUGGGGAAUAUUGCACAAUGGGCGCAAGCCUGAUGCAGCCAUGCCGCGUGUGUGAAGAAGGCCUUCGGGUUGUAAAGCACUUUCAGCGGGGAGGAAGGCGGUGAGGUUAAUAACCUCACCGAUUGACGUUACCCGCAGAAGAAGCACCGGCUAACUCCGUGCCAGCAGCCGCGGUAAUACGGAGGGUGCAAGCGUUAAUCGGAAUUACUGGGCGUAAAGCGCACGCAGGCGGUCUGUCAAGUCGGAUGUGAAAUCCCCGGGCU
rnacentral:rRNA from 1 species